GUUUCCAUAGUGUAGUGGUUAGCACAUCUGCUUUACACACAGAAGGUCUUGGGUGCAUGCCCCAGUGGAGCCA
rnacentral:tRNA from 1 species